rnacentral:rRNA from 1 species
AACGAACGCUGGCGGCAGGCUUAACACAUGCAAGUCGAGCGCCCCGCAAGGGGAGCGGCAGACGGGUGAGUAACGCGUGGGAACGUACCCUUUGCUACGGAAUAGCUCCGGGAAACUGGAAUUAAUACCGUAUGUGCCCUACGGGGGAAAGAUUUAUCGGCAAAGGAUCGGCCCGCGUUGGAUUAGCUAGUUGGUGGGGUAAUGGCCUACCAAGGCGACGAUCCAUAGCUGGUCUGAGAGGAUGAUCAGCCACAUUGGGACUGAGACACGGCCCAAACGCCUACGGGAGGCAGCAGUGGGGAAUAUUGGACAAUGGGCGCAAGCCUGAUCCAGCCAUGCCGCGUGAGUGAUGAAGGCCUUAGGGUUGUAAAGCUCUUUCACCGGAGAAGAUAAUGACGGUAUCCGGAGAAGAAGCCCCGGCUAACUUCGUGCCAGCAGCCGCCGUAAUAC